UACGUAGGGAGCAAGCGUUGUCCGGAAUUAUUGGGCGUAAAGCGCGCGCAGGCGGUCCUUUAAGUCUGAUGUGAAAGCCCACGGCUCAACCGUGGAGGGUCAUUGGAAACUGGGGGACUUGAGUACAGAAGAGAAGAGUGGAAUUCCACGUGUAGCGGUGAAAUGCGUAGAGAUGUGGAGGAACACCAGUGGCGAAGGCGACUCUUUGGUCUGUAACUGACGCUGAGGCGCGAAAGCGUGGGGAGCAAACAGG
rnacentral:rRNA from 1 species